AUGCACGCUGGCGGCGUGCUUAACACAUGCCAGUCGAACGAAGCACUUUAUUUGAUUUCCUUCGGGACUGAUUAUUUUGUGACUGAGUGGCGGACGGGUGAGUAACGCGUGGGUAACCUGCCUUGUACAGGGGGAUAACAGUUGGAAACGGCUGCUAAUACCGCAUAAGCGCACGGCAUCGCAUGAUGCAGUGUGAAAAACUCCGGUGGUAUAAGAUGGACCCGCGUUGGAUUAGCUAGUUGGUGAGGUAACGGCCCACCAAGGCGACGAUCCAUAGCCGACCUGAGAGGGUGACCGGCCACAUUGGGACUGAGACACGGCCCAAACUCCUACGGGAGGCAGCAGUGGGGAAUAUUGCACAAUGGGCGAAAGCCUGAUGCAGCGACGCCGCGUGAGCGAAGAAGUAUUUCGGUAUGUAAAGCUCUAUCAGCAGGGAAGAUAAUGACGGUACCUGACGAAGAAGCACCGGCUAAAUACGUG
rnacentral:rRNA from 1 species